rnacentral:rRNA from 1 species
GGGUUAGUAGGUUGGUCAUGCCUCUGGUAUGUACUGGUCUCACUGAUUCCUCCUUCCUGAUGGACCGUAAUGCCAUUAAUUUGGUGUUGCGGGGAAUUUGGACUGUUACUUUGAAAAAUUAGAGUGUUUAAAGCAAGCUAACGCUCGAAUACAUUAGCAUGGAAUAAUGAAAUAGGACGUUCGACCUAUUUUCGUUGGUUUUUCUAGGGAUUGACGUAAUGAUUAAUAGGGAUAGUUGGGC